CAGUAGCCGCGGUAAUACAGAGGGUGCAAGCGUUAAUCGGAAUUACUGGGCGUAAAGCGCGCGUAGGUGGUUUGUUAAGUUGGAUGUGAAAUCCCCGGGCUCAACCUGGGAACUGCAUCCAAAACUGGCAAGCUAGAGUAUGGUAGAGGGUGGUGGAAUUUCCUGUGUAGCGGUGAAAUGCGUAGAUAUAGGAAGAAACACCAGUGGCGAAGGCGACCACCUGGACUGAUACUGACACUGAGGUGCGAAAGCGUGGGGAGCAAACAGGAUUAGAGACCCCAGUAGUCCCUGUCUCUUAUAC
rnacentral:rRNA from 1 species